GAGCCGCGGUAUUUUGACCGUGCAAAGGUAGCAUAAUCAUUAGUUUUUUAAUUGAGAACUUGUAUGAAUGGUUGGACAAAGGAAAAGCUGUCUCUAUUAUAAAAAUUGAAUUUAACUUUUAAGUGAAAAGGCUUAGAUAUUUCAGGGGGACGAUAAGACCCUAUAAAGCUUUAUAAGUUAAUUAAAUUUUAUUGAUUUAAAUAUUAAAGAUUUAAUUUAAUUGUUUUAUUUUAUUGGGGCGAUAUAAAUAUAAGUUAUAUUAACUGUUUAAAAUUAAUACAAAAAUAUUUGGUUUAAAAGUUAAAGAUCCUUUUUAUGGAUUUUAAGGCUAAGUUACUUUAGGGAUAACAGCGUUAUUCUUUUUAAGAGUUCAUAUCGAAAAAAGAGUUUGCGACCUCGAUGUUGAAUUAAAAUAUCUAUAUAGUGCAGCUGCUAUAAAAGAAGGUCUGU
rnacentral:rRNA from 1 species